rnacentral:ncRNA from 1 species
AUAAAUCUGAUGACGGGAACGAGUAGUUUCUUCUCCGUGUCUACAGAGAGUCGACGGUCGGUGUGAGUCGAUGACAACGAAGAAAUGAAAAUCCUCCCUGAAGAGCGAUGCCGAAUUUACUAAGUAUCGACGUUAUUUCUACGUUACAGGAAACGCGUAUGUUAGUACGUUGUAGAGUGCCCGUCUUGUAAGAAGUCGGGAAUCAGGGUGGUAACGCGGAUACAGUCCGUCCCUUUA